rnacentral:RNase_P_RNA from 1 species
GAGGAAAGUCCGGGCUCUAUUUAUAAGUAACUUGUUGUAUAGUAUACAGUGUAGGAAACUACGAGGAGAGUGCCACAGAAAUAUACCGCCUUAAAUUUAAGGUAAGGGUGCAAUGGUUCGUUAAGAGCGCACCAGAAAUAUUGUCAAAAUAUUUGCUAGGUAAACCCCAUUUUAGAGCAAAGUAAUUUAGUUGUAUAUAUAAAUGUAGAUUUAUAAGCUUAACUUAUACAAUUCUUUAGCUGAAGUAUUUUUGUAUACUGCAUGAAGUGAAAUUUUCACUGUAGAUUAAUAAUUACCCUUUUUAUAUAGUUAAUUAAUAAUGUUAAAUAUUUAAAUUAAGAACAAAACCCGGCUUAU